UGUGAUCAGCUCGCAGCUCCAGCUGAGCUACCUUUUCCGUCCUCUGUUUGUGCUUUGAAAAGCACCGCUUGACCCCACCCAGCGACUUGAAGGCCAGUUACCCUGAACUGUUUUUGUCGCAGAAGCACCAACAUGAGGCUUCCUAACAGCGACAUGCCGCAGGUCCCGACUGCUGCAGUGACGGACUGGGAUCAAAAGACGGCCGUGAACCGACAGCUAGCGGACCGUGAGGAAAUAUUCGCGGAUUUUUACAAAACGUGUAUUGGAUUAAAAUCACUUAGGCUACUACCGCUACAGGCAACAGGUUGAGACAUUCCGACUGUGGUGGUUUGUCCCGCUGUGGUCCCCUGCCAAUUGGUGAACACAGAACCUUCCACUACAUUUGAACUUCAACUGAUUAAAGUUGGUCAGCUCAAGCCAUGUUGCUGCGUUUUUAUCUAUCAACCUCCUGGUCCAGCGGGCCAGUUUUUAUCUGGGUUUACUGACCUUCUCAACUCUAUUAUUAAGCUGGACAAAGUGUUAUUAGUUUGGGAUUUUAAUCUGCACAUAAAUGACGCCACAAAAUAUGUAGCUACUAAAUUUCUUCAUGUUACUUAAUCUUUUAAUUUUCAAGCAACAUGUUUCUGGGGCCACUCACACGGGUGGUCAUACUCUAGGCUUAGAUAUUGACCAUAUCCGAUGUGAGGACCUACUGAUCAGUGAUCACAAAUGUAUUUUCCUGGAUCUCUCUGUUUAUGCCGACUCUCUUUGUCCUAAAAGAACUGAGAACACAGCCGGUCACUUUUCAGAGCACUUUCUCUGUGAUUUUAAUACAAAUCCCCAUGAUGUGGAGUUUUUAACACAGUCUUUAAUGAGCAUUGCUCCAUGUUGCUGGACUAAGCGGCACACUUAAAAGUUAGGACUAGAGCUAUCUGCACCACUUCCCCGUGGAUGACAGAUGACCUAGUGUUCUGGACUCUUUUCAUCCAGUCAGUUCACAAGAUUUGAUGAAAGUGAUUAGGAAAAUGAAGCUAUCUUCUAGCCCUCUUGAUGUUUUACCAUGCUCUCUAUUUUUAAAGUUUUACCUGUUAUUGACCCUGCUGUUGCAGCUAUUGUAAAUUCCUCCUCGUCUACAGGAUGCGUCCCUUCUUAUUUUAAGCACGCUACCAUCCAGCCCAUUUUGAAUUAAAACAAACUUAGAUACUGCUCUGCCCAAUAAUUACAAGCAGAUAUCUAAACUCCCAUUUUUAUCAAAAAAUUUAGAGAAGGUUGAUACCAACCAACUUACAGAGAGAGACACAACAUCCUUGAUCAGGGUUUCGGAAACAGUAAUCUCCUGAAACCGCUCUUCUGAGGGUUUCUAACAACAUCUUAAUGUCCUCAGAUGUAGGUGAUUGUUAUGUGUUGGUACUCCUUGACCUCAGCUGUGCAUUCGACACUGUUGACCAUCACAUUCUCAUUCUCAAGAGGUUACUUGACUGGGUGGGUAUAUCAGGCAUAGCAUUAGAAUGGUUUUCAUCAUAUCUCACUGAGGUUUUACGGUCUCUUUUGGUGACUUUGUGGCUAAUCCUUCCCCACUGUCCUGUGGGGUCCCGCAGGGCUCGGUUCCUGGGCCCUUGUUAUUCUCACUCUAUUUGCUGCCAUUAGGACAGGUCAUAAACAGUUUUAACAUUACUUACCAGUUAUAUGUGGACGACAUUCAACUUUGCUUCUCAUUUAAACCAAGUGAAGUUGUCUAGGCUCCUCGACUGUCUUAACGCCAUUAGGAAAUAGUUGGCAAAAUUUUUUUUACAGCUCAAUGCUGAAAAGACAGAGCUUCUCGUUGUUGCUCCAGAGAAGGUUGUCCCCACCCUCACCUGCAUAACUUAGGGUUAGGGUUAGGGUU